rnacentral:rRNA from 1 species
UUGAACGCUGGCGGCAUGCCUUACACAUGCAAGUCGAACGGCAGCACGGACUUCGGUCUGGUGGCGAGUGGCGAACGGGUGAGUAAUACAUCGGAACGUGCCUAGUAGUGGGGGAUAACUACUCGAAAGAGUGGCUAAUACCGCAUGAGAUCUACGGAUGAAAGCAGGGGAUCGCAAGACCUUGUGCUACUAGAGCGGCCGAUGGCAGAUUAGGUAGUUGGUGGGAUAAAAGCUUACCAAGCCAACGAUCUGUAGCUGGUCUGAGAGGACGAUCAGCCACACUGGGACUGAGACACGGCCCAGACUCCUACGGGAGGCAGCAGUGGGGAAUUUUGGACAAUGGGCGAAAGCCUGAUCCAGCAAUGCCGCGUGCAGGAUGAAGGCCUUCGGGUUGUAAACUGCUUUUGUACGGAACGAAAAGCUUCGGGUUAAUACCCUGGAGUCAUGACGGUACCGUAAGAAUAAGCACCGGCUAACUACGUGCCAGCAGCCGCGGUAAUACGUAGGGUGCAAGCGUUAAUCGGAAUUACUGGGCGUAAAGCGUGCGCAGGCGGUUUUGUAAGACAGAGGUGAAAUCCCCGGGCUCAACCUGGGAACUGCCUUUGUGACUGCAAGGCUAGAGUACGGCAGAGGGGGAUGGAAUUCCGCGUGUAGCAGUGAAAUGCGUAGAUAUGCGGAGGAACACCGAUGGCGAAGGCAAUCCCCUGGGCCUGUACUGACGCUCAUGCACGAAAGCGUGGGGAGCAAACAGGAUUAGAUACCCUGGUAGUCCACGCCCUAAACGAUGUCAACUGGUUGUUGGGUCUUCAUUGACUCAGUAACGAAGCUAACGCGUGAAGUUGACCGCCUGGGGAGUACGGCCGCAAGGUUGAAACUCAAAGGAAUUGACGGGGGCCCGCACAAGCAGUGGAGUAUGUGGUUUAAUUCGAAGCAACGCGAAGAACCUUACCAAGUCUUGACAUCGAGAGGACAGAGUAUGUAAUGUACUUUCCCUUCGGGGCCUCAAAGACAGGUGGUGCAUGGUUGUCGUCAGCUCGUGUCGUGAGAUGUUGGGUUAAGUCCCGCAACGAGCGCAACCCUUGCCAUUAGUUGCUACGAAAGGGCACUCUAAUGGGACUGCCGGUGACAAACCGGAGGAAGGUGGGGAUGACGUCAAGUCCUCAUGGCCCUUAUAGGUGGGGCUACACACGUCAUACAAUGGCUGGUACAAAGGGUUGCCAACCCGCGAGGGGGAGCUAAUCCCAUAAAGCCAGUCGUAGUCCGGAUCGCAGUCUGCAACUCGACUGCGUGAAGUCGGAAUCGCUAGUAAUCGUGGAUCAGCAUGUCACGGUGAAUACGUUCCCGGGUCUUGUACACACCGCCCGUCACACCAUGGGAGCGGGUCUCGCCAGAAGUAGGUAGCCUAACCGCAAGGAGGGCGCUUACCACGGCGGGGUUCGUGACUGGGGUG